GAAGUUAGCCAGGCAGUCGCUGCCCGCGCAAGCGGGGAGAGGAAAGUCCGGGCUCCAUAGAGCAGGAUGCCGGUUAAUGGCCGGCCGCCGCGAGGCGAGGAAUAGGGCCACAGAGACGAGUAAACCCCGGUUUCGGCCGGGGUGGACGUGAAACGCGGUAACCUCCAUCCGGAGCAAGGCCAAAUAGGCAGGCUGUGACGUUGCUCGCCGAGCCUGCGGGUAGGCUGCUUGAGCCUUGGGGUAACUCAAGGCCUAGAGGAAUGACUGUCCACGACAGAACCCGGCUUAUCGGCUGACUUCCCCC
rnacentral:RNase_P_RNA from 1 species